UGAAAAUCACCAGGGGCUGUCAGAGUUGGGUCCUCUGAAAAAUUUACAGUGCUAAAUCAGAGCAUAUGCUGGGAGGGAAAAAUUGCUUAAGAUUGGAGCAAGUACAGUAUCUGUCUGCCCCCUAGUGUAAGAGUCCUCGCUGCCUAAAACCCAACUUUAUAAGAAAAGGAGCCCUUAAAGGGAAACGACUUGGGGCUCAUGUAGGCAUAGGAGAAUGAAACUUCUGUACAUUUUAUCUGAAUAAUUCUUCAGGAUUUAAAAUUAUUUGUCUGUGGCUUGGUUGGACUGCACUCGGAUCUCGCCGGCUCUACGUUUCUCGAGUCACUGGUGAAGGGAUGAUUUUUUUUUUUUUUGAACUGGGUUUAUGUGCGUCCCCCUCACCCCUCCUCUCUUUUUUCUUUCUGCCUCUGUCGUCUCUCUCGCUGGCUUUUUAAAAAUGAAGAACCGUUCCAUGAUGAUUUUGCACACAGCACAGAAUUGCGUCUUAAGUCAGCCCGGCGCGGUUGCAAUAGACAGCAAAAAGGUAAACCGUUUGCCUGAAUUCAGCACGCCAGCACCACCACCCCGCCCGAUGAUACGAGGACUGGAACCCAGGACUUUGCACACCUCAGGUGAUCUUUCUGCCAUCAAGCAAAACCUUCGGUCCACAGAGCAGUUUUCAGCAAAGAGAACAUGAACGAAAAAUUAUCAGCUAACGUCUCAAGGACACUUCAUGAGCCCAGGCCCUGCCCUGUGCUAAGCUGUGCAUUAAGGUUCUAUAACAGAAUGAAGAAGGUGGGGACACUUACCUGUGGGCUGAGGCUCGGAGGACAUUGUUCAGGUUCCCGCUGAAGCCAGAGUUCUGGAGAUAGACGGCUGGUCAAGGAAAUGAAGGCCAGAAGAGGGCACCAGACCUCAUUACAGAUGGUUGUGAGCCACCAUGUGGUUGCUGGGAAUUGAACUCAGGACCUUUGGAAGAGCAGGCAGUGCUCUUAACCACUGAGCCAUCUCUCCAGCCCCAAUGUGCAUUAUUUAUCAUAAGGGCCAUAGGAAGACUCACUUUAAAAAAAAAAAUUCUUGGAAGAAAACUUCAAAGUGCCAUCUACCACGUGGGCGGCUCUGCUCUGUCCUCUCCAUAAACACCACCAGCCAAGCGGCGACACGGGGAGUUCCUGAGCCCUGGAGAAGAUCUGCCAAAGAAACUUACUUCUAAGGAAGCCAGUGAUCUCAUGAAAAUGAUCAGCAGUAUAAAUCAAGUCAACAGAUUCAGAUGCUCUACAGUCUCCAGCGUCCAGAGCAGAUAACUGUGAUAACAAUUGCCUGGGACACGGGAGUAGCUGCUCUCAGCAGACAUCCCUUCUUCACUGGUUGACACCUUCAGGAACAGUGAAAGGUGAGCUAGGAAUAAUGGUGCAUGCCUGUAACCGAAGCACGAGGAAGCCUGAGGCAGGAGGAUUGGGAGAUUGAGGACAGCCUAGGUUAAUAGUUUGAGGCUAGUCUGGGCUAUACAGUGAGAAUCUGUCUUUAAAAAAUGUUUUUAUUCUAGGGGUUAAGGUCAGAUCCCAGGUCCUAGAAACCCUAACAAACCAAGACCAACUAUUUGUCCUCAAUAGGCCGAUUAGACAGACAAUCAAUUUGGUAGUGAAAUGCAUUCAAAGCAGAUUUGCUCCUUGUCACACAUUGAGCAAAUGUGUGGAGAAUAACAAAGAGAUGAUCUCCCUGACUCCAUCUUUGAGGUCCUUCCUGCCAUGAGGUUUAGGCUUAGAUAGAAGGCAGAAAGUGUGCUUGACCGGUUCUGGACAAGAUGUGGCUCUGCCCGUGAUCAUCACUUUGGCUCCAGGUUCUCCUAUAAGGAGGUCUACAAAACAGUCCAAAACACGUGAAACCUCUUAGGGGGAGACACUCCUUGUCUGCGUGACACCAUGCUCCUAGCCUGCAUGAGACUCCUGGAGAAGUUUCAGUUAUUUGGGAUGCAUUGUCUCAAGAACGUGAUAGCCAGAGAAGUGGCAAGGGUGUGCUUAGCUUGCCUUCAUCAUAGCCCCUCCAUUAGGUCACAGGCUGCAUUGAUGCUUGGGGACAUAUUUCCUUGUUCGUGGCUCCAGGCUGACAUUAGGUUCUUACUUACCUGCCUCAUCUAUGGGACCACACUGUGCUACUGUUUGAAUCUGGAGUGUCCUCCAAAGGCCCGUGUUGUAGAGGGCUUGUCCUUCAGCUGAUGUAGUUUUCACGAUGUCGUGGGGCAGGUAAGAGGUGGAAUGUACCAGAAGGAAGUUAGGUCAUUUAGAGGCUUGCCUUGGAAGGGGAUACUCGGACCCCGUAUUUCUUGUGUUUUGAGGUGCCAUAUGUGUUUUUCCUCUGCCACGUCUUCCCACCAUGAUGUUCUCUGGCAUCAAAAGCCCAGAACAACAAGAUUCCUCCUGAUGGACAGAAGCCACUGUCACUGUAAGCCAGAAGAAAACAGUCUUUCUCCAAAGCUAAUUUUCUCAAUAUUUAAAAUAUUCACUUAUUAAUUUUUUAGAGUGGGAAAACAGCGAGUAAUGGGGGCCCUCAGGGUUAGAAGACAAGGUCGGGUGUGUUCCGUUGACCUCAACAAGCUAAAAAUCUAAACACGAGCUGAAGCAUCUCUUCCAGCCCAGCAUAAAGAGAAAGCACGGCCCUAGACGUGGAGGGAACGGAGUGUGCUCAUUCCUCCGAGUUCCCUGUGGCUCCAGUGGGGAUUGAGCAGGCUCCGAGCACUAAAUAACCCUAAUGAUAUCAGGUAGGGGCUCACCGGGGAGCUGUUUGAGAGUUUGUCAGAGCAUAUUAAAAUACAAUCCAUCCCUAUAAUCCAAAAUGGAACAUCAGUCCAUCUGCCUGAACAUUCCUUUCUGAUAUUAAAUUAGUCUGGUGGCUUUUCAAAAUUCCAUCAUCUACUCAGGCCCCCUUCUUUAGUGACUAACACUGCGGUGGGAAUGGAGAGAAAAAUCAGAAUAGUGCACACUGGUGGAAGUUUCCUAAUUGAAGUCAUUAUUGCUUCAGAUGCCAUUGCUUUAAUCAGCAGAAUCAUAAAUCAAUGCUCCUCACAUGUGAAGGUUGAAAAAUAAAGUGAUGUCAAACAAAUUGGUCCUCUUAAAAGGCAUGAUGCAAUUGGAAACCACUGGAAAUGGGUGGAAAAAGUGCCUUCUGAAGGGAAACAUCGCUCUGCCAUUUUAUCUCCCACUUAAUUAAAAAAAUAUAUUACCUGGUCCUUUCUUAGAAAUUACAUAUUGGAGGUCUAUAAUGGCCGAGCCUCUAACCCAUUAAAAAAAAUUUACUCCCAGGAACAGUUAAUAUUUGACGUCUAAUUGCUUUUACUUGUUGGAGAAGAAAAGAUGUAUCUUUCCUUCCUUUCUUGAUGGACUUUUUCAAAAAUCGCCUUGUGAGCUAUGAAGAUGGAGAGGAGAAAUCGAUCUCAAGAAAGGCACAGUACAGAUAAAUAUGUAAAUGCAUACACAUAUAGACAGACAUAGCUUCUCUUGUGAGAGGACCUUGGGUUUCUCUCUGCACAACUGUGGUAGGUAGGUAGGUGCUGCCAUCUCUAGUUAAUGGAUCGGGUACAGAGGGCUAGAGAGACUGGCACUUGCACAGGGUUGGUUACCUGGGUAGCAAAUCCUGGGCAUCCUUUUUCCUCCCACCAUGACCAAGUUCAAUGCGUCCAGACAUACUUUUUGGUAGGUGUAAAGAGAUCAGUGGAGCCAGGACAGAAUGCCAUGCCAGAGCAGCUAAUUCUCACAAGCUCUUAGCCAGCCUCCUGAUUCUGGAACUUUACCACGUCAUCUACAAAAACCUAAUUAGGACUUAGGACUUUUCUGCAAGUCCUUCAUGGUGAUGGACCUAAAGGAGCAACCGAAUGAACUGUCACCCAUAUCAACCUAGAAGAGCUUCUAAUGAGAGUUGUCCGUCCAUGAGCAGGAAGGCUGGGCUUCAUUUAGAACAACGCCUUGCACCAACUCUGUGUGAGCAUUCAAGCCUCACGGUAGCGGGGCAGUGGUGGACAGAGGAGAGAGAAACCAUUUAUUUGAUUUUCAGAUGUCGGAAGAUUUCUACUUCUGCAUGCUCUAGCUUUCUUCCUUUUCCAGGCAAUAAAUUCAGCACCAAAGACCAAAGUGCUUUUGCUUUCUCUUCUUUCUUUGACACCUUCCCGCAAAGCCAGGUAUUACUGACCGCCCUUGAAAAGCUGAACGGAGCAACCGCUUCUCCUGAUUAUCCCUUCGGAGCUCAGGUGAUAGGCCUCAUCGGGUUUCACCCUCUGCGGCUUGUGGUCACAUAAGGGCUGUGCCUCUUACACCUCCCAGGAAAAUAUUUGUGUGUUGGUCUCACCAGGUUCCAUUUCUCCUAGGACUGGCGCUGCUUGCUCCACCUUCAGCGCUGUUGGCUAACAGUGGACUUAACGGACUUACCAGGGGAAGACUGCUCUUCUGAUUGGAGGCUAGGAGGCUGCCCUUCCCUUCUCUGACGUCAUGCUGCCAGAAUGGAUAAGGCUCCUGAUGCAGCUGCUAUCUGUCGACCUCCUGGACUGCGCAAGGAAGGGAGUGGGAGCUCGACCGAAGGUGGCCAAAAAUAACAGGGCCUUCCAGAUGAGGCGCCCUCAGAGCCAAGAGCAUCAUGGGGUAGAGUAUCUUUUUCCUAGUUUUAUGGCCUAAAAAGUACACAGAAGAUUCAAAGAUAUGACAGAGAGGAGGAAUAAAGUGUGCAGAGAACAAGGAAAUGUGAUUAGCUAUCAUGUUUCUUUUUUUAAAUUGAGUUUCUUUGUGCACACAUAUACACAAGAAACACAGGCCUUUUAUACAUGUAUGAAGAGAGAUCUAGAUCUCUAGAUGGAUGGAUGGAUGGAUAGAUAGAAAGAUUACAAAUAGACAGAACAGAAUACAACAGAAGACCAAAAGGGAGAGAAAAAAGAUAAAGGUAAUGUUGCCUUCCUUUGUUUGCCAUUGAAAUAAAUUUAAUAAAUCUGCAUUGAGAACCAAGGA